rnacentral:rRNA from 1 species
AACGAACGCUGGCGGCAUGCCUAACACAUGCAAGUCGAACGAGACCUUCGGGUCUAGUGGCGCACGGGUGCGUAACGCGUGGGAACCUGCCCUUAGGUUCGGAAUAACUCCCCGAAAGGGGUGCUAAUACCGGAUAAUGUCUUCGGACCAAAGAUCUAUCGCCUUUGGAUGGGCCCGCGUUGGAUUAGCUUGUUGGUAGGGUAAAAGCCUACCAAGGCGACGAUCCAUAGCUGGUUUGAGAGGCUGAUCAGCCACACUGGGACUGAGACGCGGCCCAGACUCCUACGGGAGGCAGCAGUGGGGAAUAUUGGACAAUGGGCGGAAGCCUGAUCCAGCAAUGCCGCGUGAGUGAUGAAGGCCUUAGGGUUGUAAAGCUCUUUUACCCGGGAUGAUAAUGACAGUACCGGGAGAAUAAGCUCCGGCUAACUCCGUG